UGUAAAUAAAUUCAGAACUAAGGGCAUAUUAGACUUUGCAACAAAUUUUUAAUAAGUGUAUUGGCAGCAAUAACCACGUAGCAUAUGUCUUCUAUCGCUACGUUCCGAUCGGCCUUCUGGCGUUUUCCUAUUGCUGCAAUUUACUCUUUGGAAGAACUGAAAUCCAGAUUCAUUCACAUAUGAAAAUCUCACAUCUGGUCUUUGAUUGCUACACCAAUCACUAGUCUCCUCAUUCUUAUCACCUUCCGAGGUUUUCUCUUCUUUCUACGUUGUGGUGACCUUUCUUCCAUCUUCAGUCUUCGUUGCUGAUUUUCUGGUUUAAUUCGCAAUGAACUUUUGAUGGAGGCUUUUCUGUUCCACCAUGCAUCCGUGGUCUUUUCCAUCCUCUAGAGUUUCUUGUGAGGAACAUUAUCAAGAGAAGUUUCCUUCAGAUGAUCUUGGACGAUACUUGGAUAAUUAGGAGUGCUGAUCCAAGCCGAACCAGUUGAAAAUGGCAUUUUCCAGACUCUCAACUUGAGUCUUUCAACCAGUACGUAUUACUCUUUAUGCAAACUCUCCCUCGAAGCUCUUGUAUCUUGUAUAUAGAUUAUAACACUUUUGAGUUUGGAAGAUUUCUCUUUGCUUAGUGGGAUUAGAAUUCAAUAUGAGGGCUCUUUUAGUCAUUUUGAAAUAUUUACUUUGCUACGUGUCUUUCUGCUUCUUCCUAGGCUUUACUUUACUCUUAAAUUUUGGGUCUUCUCUAAUCAUCAUCAUACUUCAUCUUUGAUUUUGAGUCUUUUCUAAUCAUCAUCAAAUCAGGUAAUCUCUAUACCCUUUUGUGAUAAUUAAUUUUUUUAAUGAUACAGUAAUUAAUAUUCGAGUUCACCUAUUUUAAUUACUGUCAUAAGUACAAGUUUCAAGAAUCAUGUGCACCACGAUUGAAGUAAUCUAACCGUUUGGAAUGAUGUUUAGAUCUAUCCGUUCAUUGUUGCCUUGUGCAGUCGUCUGCAACCGCCAGCGAGUUUAAGGAUCGUUCAUUUACCAUUACCCAGUUGUCUGCCAUUACUAUUCCUUGAACCUUUCUCGCUAACUUUUCUUCUUAUUCUUCGUCCCCUGUUUUUGGGGUUUUGCCUUGCCUUUGUUUCGUUUGCGUCAUCUAAUUUCGUCAUUAGAAAUCUAUAUUGAGCAACAUCAGAGACAACUUCAAACCAUCGGUAUCAGCGCUGGUAAAACCCUCUCAAUUGUACCCUUGUACCAAAAGAGUAAAACUAUAUCCAACACAUGCUACAUAUAUUUAUUUCUUUUUAUAAAUUCUUAUUUGGGGUAUCUCUGAUCCUUUCAUUUUUCGUAUAAGUGGUUUGUACUUGUCAAACUAAAUAUAUUUUUUUUCUUUCUAAUGGUGAGGAUAGUGCAUACCUUGCCAUGUCAAUGUUUUUAGAGUAAAUUUUCCUUCGUUUUGAACUGGAAGUGGUUUGUAGUUUGUUUUUGUAGAAUAAAUGUGCCGACCCUACUGGGAAGCAUUCAAUCAUGUUAAAAAAACUUCGAGAGUAUGAUUCAGGUAAGUGCGCCUCAUAGAUGAAAGCCCUAAAGGGAUUUGGUUGCGUUUCACAUAUAUAGAUUGCCAAUAAACUCUAAUGAUAUUAGGGUGCCAUUCUGCAGUGACCAUGGAAGAUGACAGGCUGACCACAUAGGUAGUAAAGUUUUGCCCUGCAAUUUAUUUGUUACUGCAUUUAGUCAGGAUUAAUAUUGCAAGGUAAGUAUUGUGAAUUCCACCUGUUCUAGGAUUUGAUUAUUUCAUAAAUUAUAUUAUCAUUUCUCCUUGUUAUUUUUUUUAAAUUUUUUUAUUUAAUUUCCAACUUCUGGCACCCUGUAGUUAGCCUGCAAUUCAGUUUAGUUGUAUGAGUGUUCCACUUAAGGAUGAAUGAAUCAAACAUGAAACUUUAGAAGAGUUAUAUUGCUUUAAAUUUUAUGUUAAAUUCAAUGUACGAUGUUGUUUGUUUUUUCACUGCCGUUAUGUUGCCACAGUGUGAGAUGAAAACAUGCCAACACAGGUUUUAACAUUUGUAGAUUAGAUCGUGCAUUCUAGAAGACAUGUCUCUAAAAUAUAUUUUCCAGUGAUUAUUAGUGAUGUUUAUCCUUUGUUCUCUCCAAGUUUCUGGCUGAUAUGAGGAGUUCUCUGGUGCAUAUUUAAUUUGUGUCAAUUGCCUUUGUAAAAGUCAAGAUUGAAGGAAACAGAGGAUGUGUCAUGUGAAGGUAUCCAAAUGCUACUUGGUUUUCAGCCUCCACAAGCAUUUUGGUUUGUAAUCAGAAUGAAAAAACAUGGUUGUUAUUUGUUUAUUGAUUUUGAGACUUAGAAAUG